rnacentral:rRNA from 1 species
AAACGUAGGUCACAAGCGUUGUCCGGAAUUACUGGGUGUAAAGGGAGCGCAGGCGGGAAGACAAGUUGGAAGUGAAAUCCAUGGGCUCAACCCAUGAACUGCUUUCAAAACUGUUUUUCUUGAGUAGUGCAGAGGUAGGCGGAAUUCCCGGUGUAGCGGUGGAAUGCGUAGAUAUCGGGAGGAACACCAGUGGCGAAGGCGGCCUACUGGGCACCAACUGACACUGAGGCUCGAAAGUGUGGGUAGCAAACAGGAUUAGAUACCCUGGUAGUCCACACCGUAAACGAUGAUUACUAGGUGUUGGAGGAUUGACCCCUUCAGUGCCGCAGUUAACACAAUAAGUAAUCCACCUGGGGAGUACGACCGCAAGGUUGAAACUCAAAGGAAUUGACGGGGGCCCGCACAAGCAGUGGAGUAUGUGGUUUAAUUCGACGCAACGCGAAGAACCUUACCAAGUCUUGACAUCCUGCGACGGUGCUGGAAACAGUACUUUCCUUCGGGACGCAGAGACAGGUGGUGCAUGGUUGUCGUCAGCUCGUGUCGUGAGAUGUUGGGUUAAGUCCCGCAACGAGCGCAACCCUUAUGGUCAGUUACUACGCAAGAGGACUCUGGCCAGACUGCCGUUGACAAAACGGAGGAAGGUGGGGAUGACGUCAAAUCAUCAUGCCCUUUAUGACUUGGGCUACACACGUACUACAAUGGCGUUAAACAAAGAGAAGCGAGACCGCGAGGUGGAGCAAAACUCAGAAACAACGUCCCAGUUCGGACUGCAGGCUGCAACUCGCCUGCACGAAGUCGGAAUUGCUAGUAAUCGUGGAUCAGCAUGCCACGGUGAAUACGUUCCCGGGCCUUGUACACACCGCCCGUCACACCAUGAGAGCCGGGGGGACCCGAAGUCGGUAGUCUAACCGCAAGGAGGACGCCGCCGAAGGUAAAACUGGUGAUUGGGGUG